UACGUAGGGUGCGAGCGUUAAUCGGAAUUACUAGGCGUAAAGCGUGCGCAGGCGGUUUUGUAAGCCAGAUGUGAAAGCCCCGGGCUCAACCUGGGAAUGGCAUUUGGGACUGCAAGGCUGGAGUGUGGCAGAGGAGACUGGAAUUCCUGGUGUAGCAGUGAAAUGCGUAGAUAUGCGGAGGAACACCGAUGGCGAAGGCAAUCCCCUGGGCCUGCACUGACGCUCAUGCACGAAAGCGUGGGGAGCAAACAGG
rnacentral:rRNA from 1 species